rnacentral:rRNA from 1 species
UGUGUAGGCGGUUGUGUUAGUUUUUCGUGAAAGAUCUUGGGCUCAACCCAGGAAGCGCGGGGGAAACGGCAUGACUUAGAGGAUGUGAGAGGUAAAGGGAACUCAUGGUGUAGGGGUGAAAUCCGUUGAUAUCAUGGGGAACACCAAAUGCGAAGGCACUUUACUGGCACACUCCUGACGCUGAAACACGAAAGCGUGGGAAUCGAACG